UACGUAGGAGGCGAGCGAUGUCCGGAUUUACUGGGCGUAAAGCGCGCGCAGGCGGCACACUAAGUACGAUGUGAAAUCUCCCUGCUCAACGGGGAGGGUGCAUAGUAAACUGGUGAGCUAGAGGACGGUAGAGGGGGGUGGAAUUGCUGGUGUAGCGGUGAAAUGCGUAGAGAUCAGCAGGAACACCCGUGGCGAAGGCGGCCCCCUGGGCCGAACCUGACGCUGAGGCGCGAAGGCUAGGGGAGCGAACGGGA
rnacentral:rRNA from 1 species